GUGCAGCAGGCGAGAAUGCGUGACAAGGUGACUCCGAGUGCUCAUGCGUAAGCAUGAGCUUUUCCCGAGUGUAAACAGCUCGGGGAAUAAGGGCCGGGCAAUACCCGUGCCAGCCGCCGCGGUAAUACGGGAGGCCCGAGUGGUGCCCGCGAUUACUGGGCUUAAAGCGUCCGUAGCCGGUCCGGUAAGUCCUUGGUGAAAGCCCCAGGCUUAACCUGGGGAGGUGCCAAGGAUACUGCCGGUCUAGGGGAGCGGGAGAGGCGAGGGGUACUCCGGGGGUAGCGGUGAAAUGCGUUGAUCCUCGGGGGACCACCGGUAGCGAAGGCGCCUCGCUGGAACGCGUCCGACGGUGAGGGACGAAGGCCA
rnacentral:rRNA from 1 species